ensembl:lncRNA
CUGGAAGGUGUGUCUGAAGUUUGACAUGGACAGGUUGGAGCUAGAAGAUGAACAUGUGGGAGUACAGUGUGUGUAUGUAUUUAUAGUAUAUUUAUUUGUGUGGACAAUGGUUUUUCAAGCACUUCUGAUUGAAAGGUUAUAGGCGAAGAUUACUGGCAUCUUACAGGAGCUAUUACGGAUGGGCACAUUUGUUACAUGACAUCUGUUCUCCAUCAGAACUGUAGCACCUGCGGAGUUAUUUCCUCCUCAGCCGUGUGUAUGGAUUUGGUUAUUGGAUGCAUUUUGCUUUCUGAGGUCACUUCAUCUGUUACACUGAUAAGCUAGCAAUGGGAGGCCAAAGUCCUACCGUGACUUCUGUAUGGAGUUGGUAGUACAACUUCAAAUGCAAAAAAAUCAGUUGAGGACGAAGGUGGGACAGCGCCUGCUCAUAAAAGCCACCAGCUGUUAAUUGCUAUUAGUUUUCUUUCAUUGGUCAUUGGCUCUUGAGUGUCUAACAGUGCUUGCAUUUUCCAGCUUCUAAAGAGUGAUUUUAGCACGAACAAUGCUGAAGAGAGAAAAAUACACACCAUCUGUACUACUUCUUAGGAUUAUAAGCGUGUCAUUAGGGAAGGAUUUUAUUGUACAAAGUGAGCCUUCACAGCUCAGGAAGCCAAGAGAAGGCCAAUUUCUUUCCCCCCCACAACGUGCAAGAAGUGUUACUCCAGGUUUUAAAAGCACGCUCAUAAUGGUGAGGUAACUGCCUGUCCUUUUAGGAAACUGAAAUACCAUGGUCCCUGAAGUCAUACUUCCUGGUGCUACAGUCACGUAUUUCAAUAUAUUUUAAGACAAAUUAGAGUAUGUUACACUGCCCAGUGUUUCACUUUGAAGUGUCAAGGCUGAAAUCAUUAGUAAAUUUUCCCUUCUGUAAAUUGCUCUUUGGAUAAAAAGCUAACAAAUACAUUUGCCUUUUCCUGAUUUCUCUAUUUUUUUUUUCUUUCUAAUUGGUAUCAAAGGUGCUUAGGCUGUGAGCAAUGGUAUUGAUGGCUGUCACAUAACACCCAAAGACGGAGGUGUCUAUUGGUACUAGUUGUAUGGAGUUCCACAGGAACUGUGUUCUGCUGCGUCCUGGAGAGGUAAUGAGAGACCAAAUAAUGCCUCAGCUGAGGAUAUUCAGAUUAUUUGCACACGCUGAGCUAUCACAUAGCCCUGUUAGAAGAAAGCGAUGAAAUAAAAUCUAUGUUAACAGCGAGUUAACUGAGGCUGCUGGAGCGAAAAGGACAAAGAAAUGCACAUCAUUUGCAUGUGUUAAUAGGAAUAAGGAAGCUGAAAAAAACAGACCGUGCCCAUACUCCAUCACUGCCAGCACAGCCGCUUGGAGCUGCCCCGACGCUGAUCUACUGACGCUGGCUUUGUGCCAGAGUACAUCCCGAUCAUAUAGAUGAGCCGUAAAACUGAAGAUGGAAACACCGGAGUAUUGUGUUGGAAGGACAUUUUCAAGUGGGCGUAAAGAUGUUACCUUAAACCCUUACUUAAGUUUAU